GACCUGCGGUAGGAUCAUUGGCAGCGUCGGCUUGUAUGUAGGGGGAGAGAGGGGACAACUCGGGUCCCGCUUUGCGCCGUUCCGUGCGCAGGGAAAUUCCCCCCUGCGUGGCGUGCGGUUGCGAGCGGUCCCGAAACGGAUGAUCCCCCCCGACCCUCGUGACCUUCGUGGUGGGACGUCCAUUCGUUGGGCGGGGCAAGGUCUUCCCGGAUUCGUGGGCGCUGCUUCUUGCCGGCGUGGGGAGCGUCCCGGUCCCGUUAGAAAGGGGCGGCCUUGCUGCGCAGACCUGCCACGAAGGUAGGGGGAGCUUCUCGCCUCACCGCGGUGCAGCUACAUCCCUCCCCGCGACGGGCCGUUGGUCUGACGGAUCGAUUCUGAACGAUGGCUGGCGCCUUCCCUUGCACCGUCGUCCGAGGAUAGACCGUCCGAUCCCCGACCCGUCGCCUGGGGGGGAACAAGUGAUGCGCGGUGGAGUGCGGGUAGCCAAAAGCAUGUUGCGGCCCAGAUGAUCGUAUCGCGGGCGACGGUUCGGGCUCCUCGGGGCUAGAACGGCGAACGCGAUGCGGGACGACUCUCGGCUGCGCUUGCUUUUCUCAACUCGACGCGACCCCGAAUCUAUAGAACCCUCGCUUGGAGGAACCGUUGUUCGACGGAUAGCGGAAAGGCGUGAGCCCCGCCUUGGUCCCAAGGUGACGGUGAUGCAAGGGGUCCCUUCCGCCGGGCCGUGUUCCUCUCGAUCGGUAUCUUAGAUUCGAUGCGUUUGUCGCCUUUGUCGAGGGAGCGGGUCGUUCGACGUCCUUCGUCGCUAGGACCCUCCGAUCGUGCGGUGCAAUAAGGUUGAAUGGUGGGAUCGAUCGCGGGUGCUCCAACCCCGCCCCGCGUUUCGAUCCCGCAAUGCAUCCGAAAGACCGCCGUAGAGGGUGCCCGGCCGGCGAGAAGUCGUGCGAUCAACUCCUUAAGCUGUUCGUGGCCCCGUGCUUGAGCUCUCUUCUGUGACCCUUGUCCGUUGCAUCGAAGGUCGACGAUCUUCGAUCCCCGGGCAUGGCUGUUCGUCGAGCGCCCUCGAGCACGGGGAGAUGGGCAGCCUCAACGCCGCUUCGAGACGUUCGUCCGAUCGCGACGCAGGUCGCGAAGGCUUGGUCCUUUUUGUGGGGGGAGCGUUCGCGACGUCCCGUCGCGGGCCGGGGUGCCCUGCAGAGAGGUUCCGAGGCCCUUCGCGUCUUGCAUCGUGGACCACGUCGAGAAGUGGCGGGGACCUCCCACCGACCCCUACGACGUUCUCGAGGCCCGCGGGUCAGGUGCUGCCGGUCCUGCGCGAUCGUGCAUCCCUGCCCCUACGGGCUCUCCGGAGCACCAGGGGACCGGUGGAACCAUGGGGUCCAAGGGCCUCCCCUCCGACCCCUACGACGUUCUCGAGGCCCGCGGGUCAGGUGCUGCCGGUCCUUCGCGAUCGUGCAUCCCUGACCCUACGGGCUCUCCGGAGCACCAGGGGACCGGGGGAACCGUGGGGUCCGAUUCCCCUCCCCCAACGCGUUCGCGUUGGGUUCUUUCAAAAACGCGGUCGGGGCGGACGUGGGAGGCGUGCUUGUCGCACUCGGUGCGGCACGCUCGUCGUCCCCCGGACGACCGAUCGCCAACCAAACACGACUCUCGGCAACGGAUAUCUCGGCUCUCGCCACGAUGAAGAACGUAGCGAAAUGCGAUACUUGGUGUGAAUUGCAGAAUCCCGUGAAUCAUCGAGUCUUUGAACGCAAGUUGCGCCCGAGGCCCCGGCCGAGGGCACGUCUGCCUGGGCGACGCACUUUCGCCUGACGCCUCCCCUCGAAACGUGCGGGGGAAGAGCGGACAUGGUCGUCCGGACCCUUCGAGGUGCGGUCGGCUGAAAUACGCGCGCUGGGCCGUCGCCCGCGGCCCGACCGGCGGUGGCUCCGUUAGGGGUCGGCGUUUGUCGGGAUCGCGGAUCGUGCGGCUCCGCGCGAUCGAACUUUGCAUGCCUUUCGCGUCCCCAGGUCAG
rnacentral:misc_RNA from 1 species